rnacentral:rRNA from 1 species
CCUACGGGUGGCAGCAGUGAGGAAUAUUGGUCAAUGGGCGCAAGCCUGAACCAGCCAAGUCGCGUGAGGGAUGACGGUCCUAUGGAUUGUAAACCUCUUUUGUCGGGGAGCAAGGCCCGCCACGUGUGGCGUGAAGGAGAGUACCCGAAGAAAAAGCAUCGGCUAACCCCGUGCCAUCAGCCGCGGUAAUACGGAGGAUGCGAGCGUUAUCCGGAUUUAUUGGGUUUAAGGGGUGCGUAGGCGGAAGGUUAAGUCAGCGGUCAAAUGUCGGUGCUCAACACCGGCCUGCCGUUGAAACUGGUCGUCUUGAGUGAGCGAGAGGUAUGCGGAAUGCGUGGUGUAGCGGUGAAAUGCAUAGAUAUCACGCAGAACUCCGAUUGCGAAGGCAGCAUACCGGCGCUCAACUGACGCUGAGGCACGAAAGCGUGGGGAUCGAACAGGAUUAGAUACCCGGGUAGUC